rnacentral:sRNA from 1 species
UUUCGGCGCCGCAGCCGCCCGGAGGCGUUUCGGGGAGGAAACGUCCGCUCCUCAGAGAGCGAAAGAAAGCCCGCCGCGAUGUAUCCCCCGCGGCGGGCUUUUUU